CAAGAGUUAAAACAUCCUGCUCUGGGUGAAUCUUUGCAAAUUUUCCACUUCAAGCUUCAACAAUCUAAAAACUGCUCAGUGCUGAAGCUAUCCAUAGAAAAUCUAGUUAUCAGAAGACAUCCACCUUGACAAGAAAUGUACACGCCAUGGAAUUUAACGUGCUUGUUUGACACGAGUUGUGGAUGCCGCUCGGGUCUCUGGAUGUUUAGAUGAUCUUACCCUCACGUCCUGGGGGC